AAAAACCAAACAGUCACUCCCUCUGAAGCAGAGAUUCUGUGGUGUGGAUAUGUGACAUAUAGUAUGUACAGAACUGGACUGGUGACAGUGCAGAGAUUAGCAGACGAGAAGGGGAUCAAACUACAGCACCAACCUUUUAGAAGCCAGAAAUUCAAGAGAAAGCUGCAGAACAAAAGCAGAUAAAACCAGAAACUUUAGGAAGUAAAUACAGUCAUCUAGCCCACGUGGUAGGAUGGAAUUCAGUUUGCUCCGACUGGAGGUAUACCAUUUGGAAGAAAAAUAAUCCUUUUUGGUUAGUAUUAUCCUAAACCUAGUUUCAUUUUCCUUUUGGUC
rnacentral:lncRNA from 1 species